rnacentral:misc_RNA from 1 species
UGAGAUCAGUUUUUGCAUGUGCAUUUGCAUAGGUGAUAUAUCGGGAUUUUAAAUCUUCAAAUGUGCUAUUGGACGAGAAUUUCAAGCCUAAACUCUCAGACUUCGGUCUUGCUAGAGAAGGACCGAGUGGUGAUCACUCACAUGUUUCUACAGCAGUGGUUGGAACACAUGGAUAUGCUGCUCCCGAAUAUGUUGAAACAGGUCGCCUAAAGAGCCAAUGUGAUGUAUGGAGUUUCGGUGUGGUUCUGUAUGAACUCCUCACAGGCAGACGGGCAUUGGAUAGAAGCCGCCCCGUGGGAGAGCAGAAACUUCUACAAUGGGUGAGGCAAUUUCCGGUUGAUAGUAGUAUGUUCACCAUGUUAAUUGAUCCUCGACUGCGAGACCAGUAUUCCUUGUCUUCCGCCCGGGAAGUUGCAAAGUUGGCAGACCGGUGCCUGAACAAGAAUGCAAUGAGUCGGCCAACAAUGACAGAAGUAGUUGAAAGUUUACAGAAAGCGCUACUAAUGUCAGAAGAGAAAACGAGCUCUAGUAGUAGUCAGAAACAGUCUCAUGGUGUCGGGUUGUCUCCAAGAUUUGUUGAUCAAAAGCAUGUGAUGGUUGGAAGACAAGCAAAGGUUUGAUCUUUGAAAUAACUUCACUUGGGUACUGACUUGAGAUAUUGUAUUCUUGAGGAUGAAGUAUGAAAGUUUUGACCUUCUGAAAUCCCCAAAAAUUAAUCUCUUUUUUUUUAGCACAUUGUCUUGGAAAGGUUUGAUCAUGUAAAUCUUGUCCAACUCACAGAGAAGCUAUACAAUUGUUUUUCCUUAUUAUUUUCUUCUUGUUACUGUUUG